rfam:Bombyx mori DNA, contig: Bm_scaf69_contig30777, strain: p50T/Dazao, build 2, whole genome shotgun sequence.
UUAACUCAAAUUUGUAUGGAGUCAGGACGUUUGCCUAUGUUUGCCGCUAGGGCUGCUGUUCCAACUGCAUUCAAAUUUGAGUUA